UGAGGAAUAUUGGUCAAUGGGCGGGAGCCUGAACCAGCCAAGCCGCGUGAGGGAGGAAGGCCCUAUGGGUCGUAAACCUCUUUUGUCAGGGAACAAAAGCGAGUAUGUAUACUAGUCUGAGUGUACCUGAAGAAAAACGCAUCGGCUAACUCCGUGCCAGCAGCCGUGGUAAUACGGAGGAUGCGAGCGUUGUCCGGAUUUAUUGGGUUUAAAGGGUGCGUAGGCGGCGGUGCAAGUCAGCGGUAAAAGCCCGGGGCUCAACCCCGGCGAGCCGUUGAAACUGCAGUGCUAGAGAAGGCGAGAGGUACGCGGAAUGCGCAGUGUAGCGGUGAAAUGCUUAGAUAUUGCGCAGAACUCCGAUUGCGAAGGCAGCGUACUGGCGCCUGACUGACGCUGAGGCACGAAAGCGUGGGGAUCGAACAGGAUUAGAUACC
rnacentral:rRNA from 1 species